GGCAGCGGAUGGAAAGGCUAAGCUACGGUUAAAGAAGCGAGCAAUCAAAAAACCCCACACGAGAACUGAAGUUGACGGUGGUAGCUGGAGAACAGGAAUGACGAUACUGAUGGGAAAAAAGUGAACUUCCAAGUUUGUCCUUGCCUUUCCUCUGUCACACGAGCUGCUUGAAGACAGCGGAGCAAUGCUCACUGAUUACUGAGAGAAAAAGAUUAUGAAACUGUCAUUUGCAGGUAAAGCCACUACAAUGAUAUUCUCAGGUGUUUGCAGAGACACCGAACUAAAAAUGAGUGGAAGUGACUUUAACCAACUGAAAGAAGAAUCAGCAUGAAGAACUCAAGUACAGGGAACUGAAGCUUUUUACACUGCGUGCCUUUGCCGGAGCCCGGGCCACCUAGAGAAGAAGUCAGGCAUCACACAUGCAUCCUUAAGUCUGGUGUCACCUUCAACUGCAUUCACCACGGUGGGCAAGCUUCAGUGCCUCCUUCAUUAAACAGAGUCACAGAAGACUUAAAGCAGAGUACAAAAAGCUUUCUGAAACAUUUGAGGAAAAGUUGUUGGACGGAUGCCUCGUCACUAUAGAACACUAUGGGGUCACUUCCUUCGAAAAAGGAACCAAGCACACGAUUCUGCGUAACUACACCUGCAGACGCCCUUUGAACUUCAGUGGAGUUAUCUCAGUCGUCCCAGUGUCCUUUAAAGCCAGUGGAUCAAGUUCUAAGUCGUGCGUUGCCUUUCAUUGUCUUGCCCUUCUGGUCGCCUUCAGUUUGCAAGAGUUCCUUCAUUUGACAGCUUUGAAGAUUCUCCAGUUAUUGUCUGCUCUUAGCCAAGGAGGGAAGGUUGGCUUCGGGUAGACGGGUAGAUGCCACAGGGAACCGGAGGCUGUCAAAACAGUGCCAGCCACUUAGAAGGAGCAGAAGACGGCCCGGUAAUGCUGCGUCCACUCCAAGCACCGCGGCUCCUGUCUGCUGAGCCAACUGAAUCGGAGAGUGUGGGAAUGCAAGAAGGCCGCUCAGGAAGGGGUGC